UCCGAAAGCAAAAAGAGUCAACCCACCCACCCCUCUCCUCCCACGUUCUGUUCGUGCCCGAUCCACUCCUUCCCACCUUCUUCCUCCUGCCUAGCCUCCUCCCACCUCCCCUCCACCUUCCACUGCCGGCGACGUCAGGGGCUUCGUGCCUCCGAUGCCAGAGUCGUGCCGCCGCCCGCGUAUCUCUUCUGCCCUGCCAACCCACCGCCCCGGAGCGAGACGCACGCGGCUCCCCCAUGCCCGGCGACCUUCCCCCCGCCAGCGCCGCCCUCCCCCGAUCAACUUUCAUCUUCCCCAGGCAUCGCGGAACUUCCCUUUCGCCUCGAUCUGCAGCGACGCGGACGACCGGCAGUAGGGCGCGCCGCCCUUCCCCUCCCCUCGAAUGUUUGGGGCACCGACGACCCAGCGCGAUACCUGGCAGUCGGGCUUGGGGUGGAGGCCCCGCCGAUCCCCUGUUGGAUCUCUUUCCACCAGUAUCCGGCUACCUCCCCCUCGAUCUGGUCUCCCGUCCACAACGCCUUUGUUGACCGGCGAGAAGGAGCUAGCCACUGGAUCCACUGAUCUCAAGGGGCAUCACGCCGUGCUGCAGCUCCACAUCCCUGCGUGUGCAGUGCACAAUCGUUGCUGCUGCAUCUCGGCAGCUCGCCCCGUGCAUGGUCGCCACCGGCGUGUAGUUCGGCUAGAGCUGCAGCUCUCUCUCCUCACAUCAUGCAGUUCACGGUGAAUGACGAAGACGAUGGCAGCGAGAGCGACGAGUGAAGGGGUACGCCAAGCAGCAAUUGGGGGAGGGGGUCUCUGGAACGUCGUCGUUGCUGCUCAUCUGUAAUGCCACCGAUCCUUGAUGGAUGUUAUGUACCUCCCUCUCUUUCAGGCUGCUGCCAUCACCGCAGCAACCCAGGAUCCCAUCCUCUAUUCUCUUCCGCACAGAGUGCAAAUGCAGUCCGCUGUGGUUUUCUCCUAACGUUCAUUUGAUCUUUUUUGCAGGAAAGAUAAGUGGCGAAGUUCCGUUGGAUGCCCCCAUUACCCAAUUUUUUUUGUUCAAAACUGAAGUUCAUUGUUGAAAAUUGUUGACAAAUAUUGAGUUGUGCAAUUCAUUGUAAAACCGCAUUCUCUUGGUUUUGGUUUUUUGUUGUGUUUUGUGCGGUGUAUUUAGCUGCUAGUGGUGCCGUCUAAUGGGGCCAAUUUUUGUCAACGGAAAGCAUGCAAGUGACGACAUCCAAGUGUGUAGGUUGAAUAUAGUUCACUCA